UACGUAGGGUGCGAGCGUUAAUCGGAAUUACUGGGCGUAAAGUGUGCGCAGGCGGCCGAGCAAGUCGAGUGUGAAAGCCCCGGGCUUAACUUGGGAAUUGCGCUCGAAACUACUUGGCUGGAGUGUGGCAGAGGAAGGUGGAAUUCCACGUGUAGCGGUGAAAUGCGUAGAGAUGUGGAGGAACACCAAUGGCGAAGGCAGCCUUCUGGGCCAACACUGACGCUCAUGCACGAAAGCGUGGGGAGCAAACAGG
rnacentral:rRNA from 1 species